CACACUCAUGAGUACUCACUCACGUUCAUACUCAUUUCUACUCAGACUCAUGGGUACUCACUCACGUUCAUACUCAUUUCUACUCACACUCAUGGGUACUCAUUCACGUUCAUACUCACUUCUACUCACACUCAUGAUACUCACUCACGUUCAUACUCAUUUCUACUCACACUCAUGGGUACUCACUCACGUUCAUACUCACUUGUACUCACACUCAUGAUACUCAGUCACCUUCAUACUCACUUCUACUCACACUUAUGAGUACUCACUCACGUUCAUACUCAUUUCUACUCACACUC